AACGUACGCUGGCGGCACGCCUAACACAUGCAAGUCGAACGAAGUAGCAAUACUUAGUGGCAGACGGGUGAGUAACAUGUGGGUAUCUACCCUUUGGCCUGGAAUAACACGAGGAAACUUGUGCUAAUACCGGAUAAGUCUUUACGGAGAAAGCUUUAUGCACCAUUGGAUGAGCCUGCACUUGAUUAGUUUGUUGGUGGGGUAAUGGCCUACCAAGACUGUGAUCAAUAGCUGAUUUGAGAGGAUGAUCAGCCACAUUGGGACUGAGACACGGCCCAAACUCCUACGGGAGGCAGCAGUGGGGAAUCUUGCACAAUGGAGGAAACUCUGAUGCAGCGAUGCCGCGUGAGUGAAGAAGGCCCUUGGGUUGUAAAGCUCUUUCGUCGGGGAAGAAAAUGACUGUACCCGAAUAAGAAGGUCCGGCUAACUUCGUG
rnacentral:rRNA from 1 species